ensembl:lncRNA
UCACUAUGCCACCUUCAUUUUCUAAGCUUUGUUUCCAGGAGGGAAGUUCUUGUUCAAGCGUUUCUGGUCCCGGAACUGAAUUUGACUCUUGGUGGGAGCAACAACUGUUGUCAGCCGUUUUGGGUGCAUAAUGAAAAACAGAGGGUCUGGUAUCCUUUGCUGGUACCGAGGGUUAGCAGUAGGACGGCAGGGGGGCAUCUUCAGGUUUGUGCUGCUGUUCAUUGUCUGACUGUGAGUUGGGCAUUUUUCAUUGUCACUGACAUUUACAGGGUGGCUUCUUCUGUACGGCUUAAUAUGGUCAAUCCUGUACUGAUUGUUGCUCCUUUUUAAAUCUCACACAUUUGCCAGCGAUGUCCUGAAUGGUUUAGGGUCCUGAAAAAUCUGGAUCAAGUCUUCCUCCCUUCCUUCGACGUUUCAUGUUCCGGAGAAGAACUUGAUCUCCAACGUUGUACACGAGGUUUCUGUACUUCUUCUGGAUUCGUCUGGCAAAGGCUUGUUUUUUUUUUUUUUUUUUCAUUUAAUUCUAGUUUUGUUUUGCAUAUUUUGUUCAAUGUUUCCUGAUCUUGGUGGGACGCGUAGGCUUCUUCUAGUGAUUUGAUGUUUUUUUCUAAUUCCUGAAUAUUUUUGUUUUCUUCUUUCUUUUUGUGUGAUGAGAAAGAAAUUAUUUUACCUCUCAUCACAGCUUUCCCUGCUUCCCAUAGAACAGAAGCAGAUAUUCCGGGAGUGUCAUUAAAGUCUAAAUAUGAAGUCCAUUACUUUUUAAAAUAUUUAAUAAAGUCUUCAUCUUUAAGUAGUGAUAUAUUAAAUCUCCAGUUUUUACUAGGCGUAGUAUUAUUCUUGUGCAUUAGUGUUAAAGAUACAGGACCAUGAUCGCUGACAGCUAUAGGAUGAAUCUCAGUGUCUGAAAUGUCACUCAGCAGUGAGCUGCUGACCAAAAAAAUAAUCCAGAUGAGAGUAGGAGUGAUGGACAUGUGAGAAAAAAGUAUAUUCCUUACUGGUGGGGUGAAGGGAGCGCCAUGCAUCGCAAAGACCAAAGUCGCUCAUAUACUGUUUGAUUAUAUUUGUGGACUGCCAAUUACGCUGAGUUCCUGUUGUGUUGAGCCUAUCCAUGUCUUCAUUUAGUCCAAGGUUGAGGUCACCGCCAAGAAUGAGUGUGCAAUCAAGGUGUUCAGAGAGUGCACUAAAAAAUCCGUGGAAGAAUGAGGGUUCAUCAACAUUUGGACUGUAUAUACUUACAAUACAUAGUUUUUUGUUCAAUGUUGAUAGUUUAAUAAUUAGAAAUCUACCCUCUGGAUCUAUAACUGUAUCGAGUACUGUAAAAUUAACAUUUUUAUGUAUUAAAAUUGCUACUCCCCGUUGUCUAGAAUUAUAACAGGCUGCAAACACGUUAGGAAACUCAGG